AGAGCGAACGCUGGCGGCAGGCCUAACACAUGCAAGUCGAACGGACCCUUCGGGGUUAGUGGCGGACGGGUGAGUAACACGUGGGAACGUGCCUUUAGGUUCGGAAUAGCUCCUGGAAACGGGUGGUAAUGCCGAAUGUGCCCUUCGGGGGAAAGAUUUAUCGCCUUUAGAGCGGCCCGCGUCUGAUUAGCUUGUUGGUGAGGUAAUGGCUCACCAAGGCUACGAUCAGUAGCUGGUCUGAGAGGAUGACCAGCCACAUUGGACUGAGACACGGCCCAAACUCCGUACGGGAGGCAGCAGGUGGGAAUCGUUGCGCAAUGGGACGAAAGCCUGACGCAGCCAUCGCCGCGUGUAUGAGUAGGAAGGUCUUAAGGUAUUUAGUAAAACUUAC
rnacentral:rRNA from 1 species